rnacentral:tRNA from 1 species
GGCGGUGUAGCUCAGCGGUUAGAGCACACGGUUCAUAACCGUGGUGUCCAGGGUUCGAAUCCCUGCACCGCCA